GGGGCUAUAGCUUAGCUGGUUGAGCGUUUCGUUCGCAACGAAGAGGUCACCGGUUCGACUCCGGUUAGCUCCACCA
rnacentral:tRNA from 1 species